ACUGCCACUCCAGGUUCCUGUCUGCAAGCACCUCUUGACCACAGGAACAGUGUCUGCUUUGGUUUCUGCAGACAGGAUGGAUCCCCAGCAUUGGAUCAUCAGAGAUUCAUGUUCUGUAGUACCAAGAAGCAUUUGUGAACUCCGAAAGACCAAUCAGGUGCCGAUCCGAUCCGAUCCAAUCACACAAGAGUCUUUAUUCAUAAGUUCAAACUCGGGCUUAAGUCAUGCUGACACACAGGAUGGUUUCGGUGGAUAAAAGCCCCAAACACUCCUCAGGACAAGGUUUUAUAGGAAAUAUCAAGAGAAGGCAGCCAGAAUCUAGCACUUCAGAAACAAAGUACCAGAGAAACAAAUGGGCAGCAAACAUCAACUCUGAAAUACAUUGUCUCUGAUCUAUGCAGCUUGGAUAGUGAAUUUCUUUCCAUAAAUAGUUAAUAAGAUUAAAAUAUUUGGUACACAAUUUAAAAAGAAAAGUCAUGGGGAGGAAUAUCCAGAGGAUGAUACUUUGCCCCAGGAAAAUGUACAGCUCAUUGCCUACGUUAAAUGACUAUGCAAAACCACAAGAACCUAAGAGAUGGUACUCAGCACUCUAAUAUAAGGAGCACACAGCCAAGCUUUGUGGUGAUUUUUUUUCACAAAUUGCUUAGUUUUUUCCCCUAAAAUGUUCAACAUCAGUUAAACAUUACCAGAAAAUAAAUUAUUACUCACCA
rnacentral:lncRNA from 1 species